UACGUAGGGGGCGAGCGUUGUCCGAAGUUACUGGGCGUAAAGGGUGCGUAGGCGGGUCUUUAAGUCAGGGGUGAAAUCCUGGAGCUCAACUCCAGAACUGCCUUUGAUACUGAGGAUCUUGAGUUCGGGAGAGGUGAGUGGAACUGCGAGUGUAGAGGUGAAAUUCGUAGAUAUUCGCAAGAACACCAGUGGCGAAGGCGGCUCACUGGCCCGAUACUGACGCUGAGGCACGAAAGCGUGGGGAGCAAACAGG
rnacentral:rRNA from 1 species